AUUUUCGAGAAGAGCAAAAAAAGGGGUUUGAUGUCUCACGGGAACGAUAUAAUUCACCGCUGAGACAAAACUGUUCGCACUGCAUAUGCGAUAUCGCUAGAGCCGUAGAAGAUUUGGGAAAUAUAACGCUGGGUAAAAAAAGUGGCUUACUCUCACGAAUUAAAGUUUACAAUUGUACGAAGUACGAUGACAUAGGAAAAGAAAUUAUUCUAACUGAUUCUGAAGAGCACAGUUCUCUAUUUCGGAACAGACGCGAUUCGAACGAAGAAAAGAAGGAAAUAAAAUACCUCAAGCCCGAAGAUAUCGAAGGAAUACUCGCAGGAAAUUUAACUACCAAAAAUAACGACCAUGAAACGUUCUCUUUGCCAGGAGUCGAAUUGAAUAUUCCUUGUAAUGGGAUGGACGACGUUUUCAUUAUGGGAUUGAACAGGAUAAAUUAUAGCUGGAAGCAUCCAGAUGGUAGCCGACUGUCUGG
rnacentral:misc_RNA from 1 species